rnacentral:rRNA from 1 species
GACGAACGCUGGCGGCGUGCCUAACGCAUGCAAGUCGAACGAGGUCCAUGCAGUGGCAACACUGCGGAAGACCUAGUGGCGAACGGGUGAGUAACACGUGAGGAACCUGCCCCGAAGACCGGGAUAACCCUCCGAAAGGAGAGCUAAUACCGGAUACCCCCACCGGAUCGCAUGAUCUGGUGAGGAAAUGGAUUCCGCUUCGGGAGGGCCUCGCGGCCUAUCAGCUAGUUGGUGGGGUAACGGCCCACCAAGGCAUCGACGGGUAGCUGGUCUGGGAGGACGAUCAGCCACACUGGGACUGAGACACGGCCCAGACUCCUACGGGAGGCAGCAGUGGGGAAUCUUGCGCAAUGGGCGAAAGCCUGACGCAGCAACGCCGCGUGGGGGAUGAAGGCUCUCGGGUUGUAAACCCCUUUCAGCAGGGACGAAUCAAGACGGUACCUGCAGAAGAAGCCCCGGCUAACUACGUGCCAGCCGCCGCCGUAAAAC